rnacentral:rRNA from 1 species
GACGAACGCUGGCGGCGCGCUUAACACAUGCAAGUCGAACGGAAAGGCCUGCUUUCCCUUGUGGAUUGCGGGUACUCGAGUGGCGAACGGGUGAGUAACACGUGAGUGAUCUGCCCCCAACUUGGGUAUAAGCCUGGGAAACUGGGUCUAAUUCCCGAUAGGACUGCAGGGUGGUGCCUGUGGUGGAAAACGAUUUUCUAGUGGUUGGGGAUGAGCUCGCGGCCUAUCAGCUGGUUGGUGGGGUAAUGGCCUACCAAGGCGGCAACGGGUAGCCGGCCUGAGAGGGUGGACGGCCACAUUGGGACUGAGAUACGGCCCAGACUCCUACGGGAGGCAGCAGUGGGGAAUAUUGCACAAUGGGCGGAAGCCUGAUGCAGCGACGCCGCGUGGGGGAUGACGGCCUUCGGGUUGUAAACUCCUUUCGACCGCGAGGAAGCCACCUGGUUGGAAGGGUGGUGACGGUAGUGGUAGAAGAAGCACCGGCUAACUACGUG